rnacentral:rRNA from 1 species
GUGGGUAAUCUGCCCUGAAGUGGGGGAUAACUUUCCUAACGGAGUGCUAAUACCGCAUGUGGUGGCUCGUCUACGGGCGAGUUGCUAAAGGUGCUUUAGUCUCUGAUUAAGGUAUCGCUUCAGGAUGAGCCCGCCCCCCAUUAGCUAGUUGGUGAGGUAAAAGCUUACCAAGGCGACGAUGGGUAGCUGGUCUAAGAGGAUGGUCAGCCACACUGGGACUGAGAUACGGCCCAGACUCCUACGGGAGGCAGCAGUCUAGAGGCUUCGGCAAUGCCCGCAAGGGUGACCGAGCGACGCCGCGUGUGGGAUGAAGCCCUUCGGGGUGUAAACCGCUUUUAGGAGGGAAGAAUGCCUUGAUGGAGAAUCGAGGAGAGACGGUACCUCCAGAAUAAGCCCCGGCUAACUCCGUGCCAGCAGCCGCGGUAAUACGGAGGGGGCAAGCGUUGUUCGGAAUUACUGGGCGUAAAGGGCGCGUAGGCGGUUCGGAAAGUCCAGUGUGAAAACUUCACCGCUCAACGGGAAGCUUGCACUGGAAACUGCCGAACUUGAGUGUGAGCGAGGUGAGCGGAAUUCCUGGUGUAGCGGUGGAAUGUGUAGAUAUCAGGAAGAACACCUGUGGCGAAGGCGGCUCACUGGAUCACAACUGACGCUGAGGCGCGAAAGCUAGGGGAGCAAACGGGAUUAGAUACCCCGGUAGUCCUAGCCGUAAACGUUGAACACUAGGUGUGGGGAGUAUCGACCCUCUCUGUGCCGUAGCUAACGCAUUAAGUGUUCCGCCUGGGGAGUACGGCCGCAAGGUUGAAACUCAAAGGAGUUGACGGGGGCCCGCACAAGCGGUGGAGUAUGUGGUUCAAUUCGACACAACGCGAAGAACCUUACCAGGGCUUGAAGUGUAGGGUAAAGCCUGAGAAAUCAGGUGUGCUCCUCUGGGGCGACCCUACAGAGGUGCUGCAUGGCUGUCGUCAGCUCGUGUCGUGAGAUGUUGGGUUAAGUCCCGCAACGAGCGCAACCCUUGUUCCUAGUUGCCAGCGGGUUAAGCCGGGCACUCUAGGGAGACUGCCCCCGUAAGGGGGAGGAAGGUGGGGAUGACGUCAAGUCCUCAUGGCCCUUACGUCCUGGGCUACACACGUACUACAAUGGCUGGUACAACGCGCUGCAAGCCCGCGAGGGGGAGCUAAUCGCUUAAAACCAGCCCCAGUUCAGAUCGGAGUCUGCAAUUCGACUCCGUGAAGGAGGAAUCGCUAGUAAUCGCGGAUCAGCAUGCCGCGGUGAAUACGUUCCCGGGCCUUGUACACACCGCCCGUCACGCCACGAAAGUCGGUUGUACCAGAAGUCGCUGGAGCAACCCGUAAGGGAGCAAGGCGCCGAAGGUAUGGCUGGUAAUUGGGGCGAAGUCGUAACAAGGUA